AUUGAACGCUGGCGGCAGGCCUAACACAUGCAAGUCUAGCGGCGCGGCGGACGGGUGAGUAAUGCCUAGGCAUCUGCCUGGUAGUGGGGGAUCACGUCCGGAAACGGGCGCUAAUACCGCAUACUAUCAGAUGAGCCUAGGUCGGAUUAGCUAGGUGGUGGGGUACAGGCCUACCAAGGCGACGAUCCGUAACUGGUCUGAGAGGAUGAUAAUUCACACUGGAACUGAGAAGCGGUCCAGACUCCUACGGGAGGCAGCGUAGGGGAAUAUUGGACAAGGGGCGAAGGCCUGAUCCAACCAUGCCGAGUGUGUGAAGAAGGUCUUCGGAUUGGAAAGCACUUUAAGUUGGGAGGAGUUACCAAAAGAAUAAGCACCGGCUAACUUCGUGCCAGCAGCCGCGGUAAUAC
rnacentral:rRNA from 1 species